GAUCUCUGCUCUCAAGGAGCUUACAGUCUAAUAGUAGUCUCAGGUCCUUCCACAUUUCUCAGAAGCUCUUCCAUUAGACUGUAAGCUCCAUGAGGGCACAGAUG
rnacentral:pre_miRNA from 1 species